GACGAACGCUGGCGGCGUGCCUAAUACAUGCAAGUAGGACGCAGUUGCGAACGGGUGAGUAACGCGUAGGUAACUACCUAUUAGAGGGGGAUAACUAUUGGAAACGAUAGCUAAUACCGCAUACUAGUAGAUGGACAUGCGUUGUAUUAGCUAGUAGGUAGGAUAAAGGCCUACCUAGGCAACGAUACAUAGCCGACCUGAGAGGGGUGACUGCCAAACAGGGACUGGGGAACGGCCCAGACCCCUACGGGAGGCAGCAGUAGGGAAUGUUCGGCAAUGGGGGGAACCCUGACCGAGCAACGCCGCGUGAGUGAAGAAGGUUUUCGGAUCGUAAAGCUCUGUUGUUAAGGAAGCGGUACUUAACCAGAAAGGGACGGCUAACUACGUGCCAGCCGCCGCGGUAAUUC
rnacentral:rRNA from 1 species